rnacentral:lncRNA from 1 species
AUCUAGGAAAUCGUAUGUCGUCAAAACUCUAACAAGCCAUCAGAUUGUUAUGACAGUAUCGUUACUGCAAUGAAAAAUCACUUCACAAGAUUCAUAUUCUCAUUCUAAUGACCAAUACAAACAAAGUAUAUCGCAAUUUCUGUGUGUUGGAAGGAGAAACUCACACACAAGAAAAGCUAUGGUAUUUCAUGUUAAGCUUGCAUGUACAGACCUGCAAUGAUUGAGUUAGUUCAAAUUAUUGUGUGCUAUAUUACUAACCUGCUCUUUGUAGUUUGUAUUUAUGGACAUAUAUCAUGCUGUUUUAUGGUCAUUUUAAUAAUGUUUCCCUUUUCAAAUAUUUGUUAUGAUGAUGUAUAAUUAGGUUAGCUUGAAAAAGGGAGGAUGAUGCUAUUAGCUAUUCUUGAGCUAGGAGCUCCUAAUUAAGUGUCCUUUUAGUUUCCGUAUUACGGCUUUGUUGUACUGAUAGAACAGUAGGUUGGCACUUCUUCUGUCAUGUUAUUUUUUUAGCCAUUGCCCUUUUCUAGCUAAUAGUGUGGUACUAUUCUGUUACAAAGUAAAUUCUUUUCCGAGAUCACACUUUCAUAUUUGGUUUCGAAAAUAAUUGUCUUUUGUGAAGAUCCAUCUCUGAAUAUUUUAGUUAAUGAACAGCAGUCUUACUGCCUAAUCUUAAACUAAUUGUUUGAACUUUUCAUAGAGAUCAGAAUUGUACAUAGACAGCUGGUUAUAAACUUAAUAAUUGAUGACUGGAUGUUUUGUACAAAACUCUGCUUAAGUACGGUUUCAGAUGGUGAAUAAAUUAAUGAAGAACGUUUCUUAUGCAUGUGGAAUCACCUGGUAAUUUUCUUAGGAACGCGGUUUUCCUAUUCCACAGUGAAAUCUGAGGUUGCCUUUAAACUACAACAAAGGAACUGGUGAUGCUGCCAUUGUGUGGCCUCUUACGAUAUAUUUUUGGACCUGUUACUAGAUGGCACACGCAUUAGCUGCCAUAAGAAACAAAUCAUUUUUUAUUUUAAUAUGUCAGCUGAGACGCGUUUGACUACCUUCUUACUUAUUAUGCAG